UUAACUGUAAUUUGUAUGGAGUUGGAAUAGCUUUCCUUCGUUUGCCGCUAGGGGCGCUGUUCCAACUCCAUACAAAUUUGAGUUA
rfam:Bombyx mori DNA, contig: Bm_scaf16_contig12384, strain: p50T/Dazao, build 2, whole genome shotgun sequence.